rnacentral:tRNA from 1 species
AAAAAGAUAAGCUAAAUUAAGCUUUUGGGCUCAUACCCCAACGAUAGUAUAUUACUUCUUUUUA